ACAUAGGCACACACAUGCACACACACACCCGGGCUGACUCCUUCCCUCACGAGCGUCUACUAUCCACUUUCGCCUGAGACCGCAGCAAAGCCAGGGCUUUGUUUUUUUUGUUUCUUCUUUUUUCAUUUGCUUGCUUUGGGUUUUUCCCUCAUGUACAGAGAGACUAGACCCACUUCACCCUUACUCUGCAGAGAGAGCKCCCCUGAAAACAUAGGCCUUGGAUUGUCCAUGCAUCAGACUGCAUGCUACUAAUUGAUUUGUGCAUUUACGCCUCCCUAUUAUUUUUGCUCUUUCUAAAAAAAAAUGUUGCUUGCUAACUUUAAUUUUGUAUUCAGUCCACUUCGACAAAUUUCUUCACAUACCCAUUCUGGAAGAAGGGACGAAGAAAAGAAGAGAACGCUUGCGGAAUGCACAGAUGAAAGGGGACAGCAGAAAAAAAAGAGUGAGAAAAUGGAGAGCAUGUUCUGUGGGAGAGCAAGAGAGACCUGACCUACGCACCMAACAUAGCCACUCCCAUUCCAUAUAGCCCAAGACCUGAAAGAAAUAGCACUGGACAAGGUCAGCCUAUGCUUUCGGGAAUGCUGUGGUCUACUCUUGUCUUGAGUCUGUGGGAACUCUCCACUAAGGAGGAACUAUGGGAAGAAUUUCAGCUUCAGUGAGGUAAUAUCUCCAGCAAGUUUGGAGUUUAAAGAGAUGAGCCAUUAUGAGGUGGAGCCAUCCACCAACCCAACAACACACUCAACACAAUUAAUUGUAUGGUAUCCAAACUAGUGUCAGAUUGACUCUUACUUUC